rnacentral:rRNA from 1 species
CCCUGUGGGAAGCAGGAGGGACCACCCUCCAAGGCUAAAUACUACCUAGUGACCGAUAGCGUAUAGUACCGUGAGGGAAAGGUGAAAAGAACCCCGGGAGGGGAGUGAAAUAGAACCUGAAACCCUGCACUUACAAGCUGUGGAAGCACAUUUCUUGUGUGACCGCGUACUUUUUGUAGAACGGGCCAACGAGUUACGUUAAGUAGCAAGGUUAAGCACUUAAGGUGCGGAGCCGUAGCGAAAGCGAGUUUUAACUGAGCGUUCAGUUACUUGACGUAGACCCGAAACCGGGCGACCUACCCAUGAGCAGGAUGAAGCGAAAGUAAAAUUUCGUGG